rnacentral:rRNA from 1 species
AAUCAACGCUGGCGGCGUGCCUAACACAUGCAAGUCGAACGCGAAAGGGGCUUCGGCCCUGAGUAGAGUGGCGAACGGGUGAGUAACACGUGGGUGACCUACCUUCGAGUGGGGGAUAACGUCCCGAAAGGGACGCUAAUACCGCAUUACAUCCCGCCUUUGAACAGGCGGAGAUCAAAGCCUGGGACCGCAAGGCCAGGCGCUUGAAGAGGGGCCCGCGUCUGAUUAGCUAGUUGGUGGGGUAACGGCUCACCAAGGCAACGAUCAGUAUCCGGCCUGA